rnacentral:rRNA from 1 species
CAGCCGCCGCGGUAAUACGAAGGGGGCUAGCGUUGCUCGGAAUGACUGGGCGUAAAGGGCGCGUAGGCGGCGAUCAAAGUCAGGCGUGAAAUUCCUGGGCUCAACCUGGGGGCUGCGCUUGAUACUGGGUUGCUUGAGUGGGGAAGAGGGUCGUGGAAUUCCCAGUGUAGAGGUGAAAUUCGUAGAUAUUGGGAAGAACACCGGUGGCGAAGGCGGCGACCUGGUCCUUUACUGACGCUGAGGCGCGAAAGCGUGGGGAGCAAACAGGAUUAGAUACCCCUGUAGUCCCUGUCUCUUAUAC